ACCCGCUGAACUUAAGCAUAUCAGUAAGCGGAGGAAAAGAAACUAACAAGGAUUCCCCUAGUAACGGCGAGCGAAGCGGGAAGAGUUCAAAUUUAAAAUCUGGGUGGCCUUGCCACUCCGAAUUGUAAUUUAAAGAGGCGUUAUCUGGGUCCAGCCCGAUGCUCAAGUCCCUUGGAAUAGGGCGUCACAGAGGGUGAGAACCCCGUCUGGGCAUUGGUGUUGGAUCCUCCAUGAGACGUUUUCUACGAGUCGAGUUGUUUGGGAAUGCAGCUCAAAAUGGGUGGUAAAUUUCAUCUAAGACUAAAUACUGGCAAGAGACCGAUAGCGAACAAGUACCGUGAGGGAAAGAUGAAAAGCACCUUGAAAAGGGAGUUAAAUAGUGCGUGAAAUUGUUAAAAGGGAAACGAUUGAGACCAGUAUUACUGCUGGCCGUUCAGCGUCUUGUUGGGCAACCUGCAAGGCGUGUAUUCGGUCAGUGGUGAGUCAGCGUCAGUUUGGGCUUCCGGAGAGAGGUUAGAGGAAGGUGGGGUCGGCCUUCGGGUCAACUCUUUAUAGACUUUAACUCGCACGAGGAGCCUGGACUGAGGUGCGCGACUGCAGUACUCAUUGAUCGAGCCCGGUUCCCAUGGUUUAGGACUACAUGUAGACCUCGACCGCAAGAGCAGGAGGUAGGUUAAUGCAUGCAGGUCAAGGAUGCUGACGAAAUGGUCUUAAACGACCCGUCUUGAAACACGG
rnacentral:rRNA from 1 species